GCCCACGCAGUGACGCACACCAAAAUGCAAAUUUGGAAACGCACUCUUACAGGUGCCGGGGCUUCUCCCGUUUUGAAGUAGACGGGAGAAGG
rnacentral:tRNA from 1 species